GGCGCGGCCAAGCCGUUAAACCCCCAACUUUUUUACUAGGUUGACCUCGGAUCAGGUAGGAAUACCCGCUGAACUUAAGCAUAUCAAUAAGCGGAGGA
rnacentral:rRNA from 2 species